rnacentral:rRNA from 1 species
UUAUGUAGAAAGUACACUCACACCCGAUCGCGCCUGAUCUUGGAAGCUAAGCAGGGUCGGGCCUGGUUAGUACUUGGAUGGGAGACCUCCUGGGAAUAUUGGGUGCUGCAGGCU